UACGUAGGUGGCGAGCGUUGUCCGGAUUUACUGGGCGUAAGGAGCGCGCAGGCGGCUGGUCAAGUCCGAUGUGAAAGCUCCCGGCUUAACUGGGAAAUUGCAUCGGAAACUGAUCGGCUGGAGGGUUGGAGGGGGGACUGGAAUACUUGGUGUAGCAGUGAAAUGCGUAGAUAUCAAGUGGAACACCAGUGGCGAAGGCGAGUCCCUGGACAACUCCUGACACUGAGGCACGAAAGCUAGGGGAGCAAACAGG
rnacentral:rRNA from 1 species